GUCUUUAACUGUAAAAUUUCCAUCUUCACCGAAAGCAAAGGACCCUUUUGUACCAGAGAUUGGAUUCUUUCUAUUAGCGACCCAGAUGACAGGCUGACCCUGAGCCUUGUGAUACCUUAUACCAACAUAUCGCAAAGAAGAACUUUCAGGGCUAAAGAAACCCAGUUCAAAAUUUUCAUCGACUGAUACUAAGGUUUCACCAUCUUUAAUUGAUUGGCCUUGUGUGAUUCUGUCAAUUCCAUGGCAGAACAGAACCAGAGAGAACAGAGAAAAAAGAAUGAGAAAAGAAAAACAGAUUUCUUGCUC
rnacentral:misc_RNA from 1 species